UCAUCAUAGCGUCAUACAAUUCUACCACCCUCAGGUGAAAUGUGUCCAGUUUACUGAACGUCUUCGAGUCCUCUCCUUAUCAAAUCGGACAAUCGAUUGAUCUUAGUGCAUCACACAUCAUCAUCACUUAACAAUCACGAUGAAGGUGGACCGUUUCUCGAUAACUCGCAUCAGCAAUCGCAUUCUGGGAAACUUCAGGAACAACAAUAAAAACAAUAACAACCAGCAUGCGGCUACUUUCACCAUAAGCGGCAAUUACAAUGAAACGACGCUAGACCUUGAUAAUCGCACUGUCUCUUCGACUGAUUCUGACUAUGGCAGCUACCUGACCAGGGAACCGUUGCCUCGUUUGGAGUACUAUCGUACUUCGAAACGACGCAUGAAGCGACCUUCUCUUGGCGAGUUGCACGGGGACCUCGAUAGAAAACCGGUUCGUCUCGAUGGAAUAAUGGAAACCGGUGAGAAUAUUACUCUCCAGACUGGAACACUUUCGGAUUAUCAGUUGCGACGUUUGCGAUGGUUUGAUGUUGCCAUCGAUGAGCUUUGUUGAUCAGGAACAAUUUCGGAUAAUUGAGUGACUGCUGUUAUUGUGCUCGAACUUGCUGCUAGAAGUGCAUCAUACUGCCGUCAUCCUUCCUUCUGGCGUGGUCCACGGGAUGCAGAACAUUAACAGAACUCGCCUGGAGUGGAGGCCUCCUGGCCUCCACGGGUGCCGAUUGCACCGAUGACGCCGACGAGGAUACUGCACGAGAGUGGAAUCAUCAUGUACUGUUGGGAUGUCUGCGAUGCUGCAACGUAGCUGUUGAUGACCAUCAGAGUUGGUUGGCCAAACCUUCUGACGACCAAUCGAUUGCUGGCGCUGCUUUCGUACAACGGGCCCAUUGCACGACGGGAAACUUAUUCGGAUAAUAAGGCUGCAGUACUAUCAUGAUGUGACGAAAUUUGAUGUGAUUACUAGUAUGAAUGGUACCGUGCACCAUAACCGUGACGAGAAAACAUGUUCGGGGAGACGACACUGAUGACAUAGAUAAAGUGCGAUUGACGGGUUGGAAAUGUGACGACUGGAUGACCUUCAAGUAUCGACGUCCCGGGCCGGGACGUAAACAGCACUAGCUAUGGAGGAUGAACAUUCCUUAAGCUUUUUGAAAUAUAUGAUGAAAAAAUAACUUAACUGGAUUGCGGGAGCUCUUCGUUUGAAGGCUCCCGCGGUGCCUAAGCACCUUGUUGGAAGAGAACUAGUUCUCUUCGUGUUGAGACUCGAUG